CUUUUAGUAUGCUCCAUCUACACCAGGGACUAAUGCAUAAGAUAGUAAUGCCAUGCAUUCGUUUUUCCCCUGGGGUGUAGGAAAAGCAAUGUGAAGCCAUAAAAAGAAAAAAAAUAAGGUGAUGAGGGCUCAUCAAAUAAGGGAGGAGCCUUGGUUAUAUGAAGAAAAGAGCAGAGAAGGUGUUGAACCAGAGCAACAUUUGAGAAAGAUUGUCAAGAUAUGAUGGGUGAUCUGGCCUCAAUUGGCCAAGCACAAGCCCACAAGGAUGCAAUGCGUUGGCUGUAAGGACCUACAAGAACAUGCGGGUCUGGGUAGGAGGCAUACGAGAGGACAAUGCUUUAAUUUGGCUCAAGGAUGGUGAUCGUAAAACCGACAACUGGCUGAAGGGCCAGCCAGACUUUUCAGGUGGCAAAGAAUUCUGUGUGGACUUGUGGGGAAUGGGCGUAGAAAACGACAAUCGCUGCGAGUUCAAGAAGCCAUUCGUCUGUGAAUAUAACUUAGUGAAUGGGCUUAUAAAACAACGAUCGCUGCCAUAUCAAGAAGCC
ensembl:lncRNA